UGGCGGACGGGUGAGUAAUGUCUGGGAAACUGCCUGAUGGAGGGGGAUAACUACUGGAAACGGUGCUAAUACCGCAUAACGUCGCAAGACCAAAGAGGGGGACCUUCGGGCCUCUUGCCAUCGGAUGUGCCCAGAUGGGAUUAGCUAGUAGGUGGGGUAACGGCUCACCUAGGCGACGAUCCCUAGCUGGUCUGAGAGGAUGACCAGCCACACUGGAACUGAGACACGGUCCAG
rnacentral:rRNA from 1 species